AGACAGGAAGUCCCGGACGCCUGCCCCGAGAGCGGCCCGGCCCGCGGCGAGGGACACCUGAGGCUGGAAAUCGCCCCGGGGCCGCGGCCAGGAGAAGGCCCCUCGGCAGGAAGAGGCACAUUUCACGCUCUGCGGAAGAAAAGUCUUCAAUUGUCCUCAGUCUGGAAAAGAGCCAUUAAUCAAAUUUUCUUCCUGGGAGAGAUCUAAUACCUAGUCCCGCAGCUGUAAAUAAAGAUUUUCACGUACUGUACUUAGAAGAGAGUAUUUAGAAGGAAAGAAAGUAAGCCGAAGAUUUCUCUCUGGAGGUGACAGAGGAAGACAACUGCCAUGUCCUAAAUACACUCAAGUAACUAUGGAGAGGCCCAUUAGGCAAGGAACAAUGGCAUCCUGCUAACAGUCUCAUAACAGAGCUAUCUAAGAGACAGAACCUCCAGCCCUUAAUCAAGCCUUCAGAUGACUGCAGCUUCCCGAAAGAACCUGAGCUAGAAUCAUGCAGAACACAGAAUCAUAAAAUGUUAUGGUUGGAAAGGAGCCUAGUGACAACAUCACCUAGAGGUUUUCAAAAAAUAAGGAACCUACACAUCUUGAUCUCCUUUCCUGACUACCAUGAAUGAGGUUUGUUUCUUACCUAAGAAAUAGCAUACUACAGGUGAAGAUAGCAUCUUUGACUACUACCUCCGGUCCUCCAUUCACCAUUCUAUCUCCCCCAAAGAAACCACUGACAUGAGGUUUGUGUAUAAUCUUCCAGUCUAUUUUUUAUACUUUUAUGUUUUUGUGUGUAUAUAUAUUUAUGUGUGCGUGUGUGUGUGUUUGUCCCAAAAUGAUAUAUAGCAUUAUUUUGCAUGCUGUAGGUACAUAAAUGACAUUAUUAUAUAUGCCAUUCUAAAAUUUACUUUUUUCAUUCAAGAUGUACAUUCUAUCUAUGUUGGUAUAAGUAAAUAUAGCUAUGCUUUUUAGAUGCUACAGAGUAUUCCAGUGCAUGAAUUUACCCCAUUUUAUUCAUUGAAUUAUCUACUAGGAAAAUAAAAUUGCUUCCAUUUUUCACUUUUGUAAACAAUGCUGCUAAAAAUUCUUAUCUAUAUUUUCUUAAGCAUGUAUGCUAGAGUCUCUCCACAGUAUGUACCUACAAAUAGAAAUUUUAGGUAACAGAAUAAGUGCACUUUUGAUUUUAUAUGUUACGCUCUCCAAAAUAGCUGCAUAAGUCUAAAAUCCUACUAAUGAUAUGUUAGAGUUCCCAUUUUUCUCACAUUCUUGUCAAUAAAAGAUAAAAUCAGACUUUAAAGAUUUUGCCAUCUGUUAUGUGACAAGAAAAUUUUCACUGCUGUAUUAAUUUGCAUAUACUUAGUAAGUACUGAGGACAUUUUUUCAUAUACUUAUUAGCCAUUAACAUUUCCCCUAUGACUUGUCUAUUGAUAUCCUUUGUUACUUUUCGGUGAUACCUUUUGCCUUACUGGACUAUAAAAUGUUAACAGAUUCUAGGUAAUAAUUCAGAUAUGUGCCUCAAAUAUCUUCUGCCAGCCUGCUGUCUGACUUUUAAUUUGGUUGGUCUAUAGUAUCUUCUAUCCUACAAAAAUUUUAAAUUUUGAUAUAGUCAAAUUAAUAUGAGUUUUCCAUUACAGUAUAUGUUAAACUGUCCUUGAAAUAAAAAGGAAAUCGUAAAGUAAUUAAGAAAUAUUUAGAAAUGCAUUACAAUAAAAAUACAACAUGUCAAACUAUGUGUGACACACCUAAAAUAGUACUUAGAAGUCAGGAAAUGAAAAAGUUUAAAAAUAAACAAACACAGCACAUUCAAUUCUUAAAGGUGGAAAAAUUAACAGAACAAACACAAUGAAACAAGAAGGAAGGAAAUAAUGAAGAGCAGGAAAAAUGAAAUAAGAAUCUAUAAUUUUAAAAAAUAGAGGAGAUUCGCAAAACCAAAUGAUAAUUUUGAAAAGAUGAAAAAAACAGAUGGAUAUUUGCAAGAGUUAUCAAGAAAAGGUGCAAAUGUAAUGCAGAACUAAAGGGGAGAAAUAACUACAAAUACAAUAGAUACAGAAAUCAAGAUUGAAAGCUGCGACAGGACUUGGAGCUGAACCUGCGUCAACCACAACUAAGACUGAAGGACAACAACUUGACUUGGAGCU